CCUACGGGUGGCAGCAGUGAGGAAUAUUGGACAAUGGGGGGAACCCUGAUCCAGCCAUGCCGCGUGUGUGAAGAAGGCCCUCGGGUUGUAAAGCACUUUCAGUGAGGAAGAACGCCUGGUGGUUAAUACCCAUCAGGAAAGACAUCACUCACAGAAGAAGCACCGGCUAACUCCGUGCCAGCAGCCGCGGUAAUACGGAGGGUGCGAGCGUUAAUCGGAAUUACUGGGCGUAAAGCGCGCGUAGGUGGCUUGAUAAGCCGGUUGUGAAAGCCCCGGGCUCAACCUGGGAACGGCAUCCGGAACUGUCAAGCUAGAGUGCAGGAGAGGAAGGUAGAAUUCCCGGUGUAGCGGUGAAAUGCGUAGAGAUCGGGAGGAAUACCAGUGGCGAAGGCGGCCUUCUGGACUGACACUGACACUGAGGUGCGAAAGCGUGGGUAGCAAACAGGAUUAGAUACCCGGGUAGUC
rnacentral:rRNA from 1 species